UCACAUUAAUAAAUUGGAAAAGAAUAUUUAACUGAUUUACAGAAAGGAAUCAGAAAAUAUGAAUCCAGUUACACCUCCAGAUUUCAACAACUCACCCCACUGAGCUGUUGUUUUCUCUUGACCUUCUCUAUGAGGCAUCAGAGGCUUCCGAGGGGUAUCCGUUCACCACAAGAGCUCCCUUAGUAGCUGCUCAACUAUUAUGCUGUUUCUAGGCCAUGGAUACUUAAACUGGGCACAUCCUGAAGCAACAACAUGGUCACCCCAGACUGUGUCAUCUCAAUAACUGGAAGAAAUCAACAAUUGCCCUGUUAAAGCAUCUGUCAUUAUUCCACUUUAAUACAUGUCCAGCUCCCUCUAUUUCCCUUCCAGCUCACCCAGUCAUUUGCUUUGCUCUCCAGUUGCCCAAGCCCAAGCCCUGAGGGAUGCUGAGGACACUUAACAACACCCUUGUUCCCAAGAAGAGGAGAAGGCUGGUGUGAGGAAGGAAUGGUUUAAGCUUCAUGUACCAGCAUCCAGUGGGAAUGGGACCUAAGUACUCUGAACAUUCUGUCAGCUUGCUUACCUGAUAAGGCAAGAAUGAGAAUCAUUUUCCUAGGAAACAAUGGUAUCUGUCAUGAAACUGCAAAGACUAACAGUAUUUACAACUCCAACGGGGCUCCAGCAAUUAACCAUGAACCAGCUGCCUGUCACCUGGCCUUGAAGAACAAUUCAGUCUUAUGCUCUUGUAGCUCUUUCCACCACUUUCGCCAGGAAGAGAAAAUGGAGGGUUAUCAAUAAGCCUUUUGCUUUAGA